rnacentral:lncRNA from 1 species
GAGCUAAGUUUGUGCUUGGUUACCACCCUGAAGUGCCAGUACAGAGCUGAUUCUCUGUGAAAGAAAGAUCUGACCUGUAAAAAGAGCUGACAGCAAGCUACACAUUUACCAGUCAUUGAUUUGGGUAUGCAUAAAAAUUUGCAGAGAUGUAGUUCUCAGGACUUGGGACUUCUCAAUACUUUCCAGUAAAUAGGAUGCAAGCAUUUGGAACUAUAGAACCCACUGGUUAAAAAGGAAUCAUCUAUUGGCACAGACCAGAAAGAGGACUCAAUCACACAACAGACAGCAGUGAAUUAAGAAAAGGAAACUGGGAGGGGACUCAAGAUGGCGCUGUGAGAACAACCCAGGAUUGGAGCCCACGUUGAAUUCGCAAACGGUUUCAUAUCACCAGACAAUUUCCUAAGAAUUUAAAAGCCUG